CAUGCAAGUCGAACGGUAAUAUGGCUUCGGCCAUAUGAGAGUGGCGAACGGGUGAGUAACACGUAGGUGAUCUGCCCUUGAGUUGGGGAUAGCCCAUGGAAACAUGGGGUAAUACCGAAUACGGUCAUGGGACUGUGGUUCUGUGAAGAAAAGCGCUUCGGCGCUGCUCGAGGAUGAGCCUGCGGCUGAUUAGCUAGUUGGUGGGGUAAGAGCCUACCAAGGCGACGAUCAGUAGCCGGCCUGAGAGGGUGAUCGGCCACACUGGGACUGAGAUACGGCCCAGACUCCUACGGGAGGUAGCAGCUAAGAAUCUUCCGCAAUGGACGAAAGUCUGACGGAGCGACGCCGCGUGGGUGAUGAAGGCCGGAAGGUUGUAAAGCCCUUUUCUGACUGAGGAAUAAGCUCAGGAGGCAAUGCCUGAGUGAUGACGGUAAGUCAGGAAUAAGCCCCGGCCAAUUACGUGCCAGCAGCCGCGGUAACACGUAUGGGGCGAGCGUUGUUCGGAAUCAUUGGGCGUAAAGGGCGCGCAGGCGGUUAUGCAAGCCUGGUGUGAAAGACCGCAGCUCAACUGCGGGAGCGCGCUGGGAACUGUAUGACUGGAGUUCAAGAGGGGAAGCUGGAAUUCCUGGUGUAGGGGUGAAAUCUGUAGAUAUCAGGAAGAACAUCAGUGGCGAAGGCGAGCUUCUGGCUAUGAACUGACGCUGAGGCGCGAAAGCGUGGGGAGCAAACAGGAUUAGAUACCCUGGUAGUCCACGCCGUAAACGAUGUGCACUAGGUG
rnacentral:rRNA from 1 species